rnacentral:tRNA from 1 species
AAGACUUUAAGUUAAGAAAACUAUAUACCUUCAAAGUAUAAAUUAUUCAAAAGUAAGUCUUA